rnacentral:rRNA from 1 species
GCAAGUCGAGGGGCAGCACGGUGUAGCAAUACACUGGUGGCGACCGGCGCACGGGUGCGUAACGCGUAUGCAACCUACCCAUAACAGGGGGAUAACACUGAGAAAUUGGUACUAAUACCCCAUAACAUCAGGACCGGCAUCGGUUCUGGUUGAAAACUCCGGUGGUUAUGGAUGGGCAUGCGUUGUAUUAGCUGGUUGGUGAGGUAACGGCUCACCAAGGCAACGAUACAUAGGGGGACUGAGAGGUUAACCCCCCACAUUGGUACUGAGACACGGACCAAACUCCUACGGGAGGCAGCAGUGAGGAAUAUUGGUCAAUGGACGCAAGUCUGAACCAGCCAUGCCGCGUGCAGGAAGACGGCUCUAUGAGUUGUAAACUGCUUUUGUACGAGGGUAAACGCUCUUACGUGUAAGAGCCUGAAAGUAUCGUACGAAUAAGGAUCGGCUAACUCCGUGCCAGCAGCCGCGGUAAUACGGAGGAUCCAAGCGUUAUCCGGAUUUAUUGGGUUUAAAGGGUGCGUAGGCGGUUUGAUAAGUUAGAGGUGAAAUACCGGUGCUUAACACCGGAACUGCCUCUAAUACUGUUGGACUAGAGAGUAGUUGCGGUAGGCGGAAUGUAUGGUGUAGCGGUGAAAUGCUUAGAGAUCAUACAGAACACCGAUUGCGAAGGCAGCUUACCAAACUAUAUCUGACGUUGAGGCACGAAAGCGUGGGGAGCAAACAGGAUUAGAUACCCUGGUAGUCCACGCAGUAAACGAUGAUAACUCGCUGUCGGCGAUACACGGUCGGCGGCUAAGCGAAAGCGAUAAGUUAUCCACCUGGGGAGUACGUUCGC